rnacentral:piRNA from 1 species
GAAUUGCUGGAUCUUGUGGUAGACU